CUCGGUUUAGCACCCAGAUCCCUUUCCCCGUGGAAACAGUGUAGUAAGUGGAAGUCAAGUCAACGGGCUGCCCCCCACAGUCUGCUGAGCGCACGUGGCGCCGAAGCCGGGCCCGCGGUCCCCACCGGCGCCCAGUGCCACCUGCUCCGCACGCAGCCGCGGCCGUGACCUCCCUGCGGCGACCCUUGUCAGCCUAGGACGCGGUGCCGCACGCCCGCCUUGACCCCCAGCCCCGUGUCACAGCAAGUCUGCAUCCUGUCCUGCAGGCACGGUCUCCCGCUCUGCUUUCCUGCGUGUCCACUGCGGCCCGCGCCGGGACCCGCUCUGGCCGGCGCUCUGCUCCAGGCCCCGGGCACCACCGGCCCUGCUGGUGCUUGGAGCCCCUGAGAACCCCCGGUCAGCCGAGGGUCCAGCCCCAGCAGCCGAAGCACCGAGCCCUGGCUCCUCCGUGCCGUCCCCACGGCCCACCCUGCAAGGCCGAGAGUCCGUGAGCCAUGAAGACGGCAGAUGCCCGGCCCGUGCUCCCCAGAGCCCCUCUGGACCGAAAAAGCUGCCUGAUCAGAGAAAGCUCACUUCGCCUAAGUGCGUCUAGGAUGCCGUCCAUGCAAGGACCAGGUCGUACUCACGGUUCCUGAGCGGGGCCUGGACGCCACUGAAGGUGUGAUCUGAGGAGGUGUCAGCCGAGAACUCAGAAGAGUGGAGGGAAAGCUAUUUGUCCUUUUCCACAAGGAGGGGAGGAGGCACCUGCUCCCCCAUCUGCGCUCAUCUCAUGGGGCGGAAGUGAGCCUUGACCAGAGCCUCUGCCUGGGGCCGUGUGCGCCUCUUCUCCUGGCUGAGGGACAUGGCUUCCUAUGGAAUGCGAUUUCAGGACUGGGAACCUACCUGAGGUUCCUGGAAUACCUGGUUCCCCCACCUGCUGGCUGCCUGGGGGUGGGAGCCCCAGAGAAAAUGUGUACCAGCCUCUAGUGUACAGUAUUUGUUCCCAAAGUGUGUUCCGUGGAACCAUCUCCUCAGCUACUCUGCAUCC